CAUGUUAUUCAACAUUGUGAUUUGUUGUUUUUUGGCAGUUAAUUAAGAUAGAGUUGCAGACUUUAGAGGCUGCUCUCUUGAGUUG